rnacentral:lncRNA from 1 species
UAUAUAAUUUGUUAUUAUAAUAAUAAAAAACACGAGAUGAGGGUAAAUUUCCCCCUCUCUACGGGGAGUUAAAAUAAUUCCAAAUACUGCAUUAUACAAAAUCUGCGGUGUUUGAAACCGUGUUAUGCGGGACCCCCUGUAUGAGAAAGAACUGUGAAAUUUAUUGGAACUUACAGCCUCUUAUAGCCUAUAUAACGAAACUUGAACGGGAGAAGGUUCAUCAACGAUACAAUGAUAGUCUUAAAGUGAAUAAAAAAAGGAUUUUAUACAGUUAUCAGUAAAUACUAUUGAAGGUGAAGAACAAUAUGAAAUAUAACUGACUUAAGGCAAGGGAAGAUUGAUGAUGUAUGAGAAAUACAAUGUGUCACGUGUGAUUGAUUGAAAAUGCGUGAGACAUGAGAACCCUGUUAAUACCCAAGAAUUGCAAUAAUCAUCAUGAGUCCGAUGUUUUUAGUAUCCAGUUAUUCUCUUCAUGUGGGACGAAGACAUUAAGUAUCGUUUGACGCCGGAGUGGGACUAUAAGGUAAUUCAAUUUCUCCAAAAUCAUAUCACAAGUGGCUGAUAUCCAGCAUCUUGAUGUAUAACCAGUGAUGAGAAUAACUUUAUAAAGUUCUGAGAUAUAGGCGAUGAUGGCAUCCCCAAGUUGUUGAAGUAAAAUUGGUUUCAGUUCAUAAGGUCCCCAGCUUUUGUAAGAGCCAAAUAAGUUACAGGAUUUCCUGACCUUGCUGCUCUUCAAGAAAUCAACGUUAAAAUCAUUUGCUUGCAUGGAUGUUCCAGAAGACGUACUGAGUUUACAUUGUGGAAAAUGAGUUUCCAUGAGUAUUUUUAGUGAUUUAGCAGGCAUAAGUCUUUAUCCAGAAAUACCAUACGUCUCGCUCCUGUCUUCUCCA